AGCUCUGCUGCCAAGCACCAUAAUCUCUACAAGAGCACAGGCUCAUAUAUGCAGGGAAAUAUCCUUUUUUUCAGUUACUUCAGAAAGGUUAACAGGUUUGUAGCGGAUCUAUCGUUGCUUUCUGACUUACUGUUUCUCUGAACACUGAAACUUUGGUUCCUCUGCUGGAUUUCAUGUAGAUGAACGUGCAGGCAAGGUAUUGGAUCAACCCCAAUAAGAUGGUACUGGAGAUCCUGCAUGCUGAAUCCAGGUCCAAGCAGGAAAUGGCUCUGCUGCUUUGCCAAAACUUCAUCACUAUUUAAGCUCUCCACUCUAGAUGUUCAGGGUUCUGCAGAUAUCUAGGCUGGAAAGGGAAGAAUAUACGAAGUAGUACAAUCCUAACAUGCUACAUUGUGUUAAAAACAAAAACUACAUCUGUAGAAUUGAAUUGUAUAGCAGAAUUUACAUAAAUUAUCAUCUUAGUUCAAACUAAAUAUUAAUACGAAGGGAUAUUGUCCAAACUGAUAAAAUGUUCAUUAUAGUAACGCCUGAUUUUCAGUACGACUUGCCUGAACCUCACACUAACUGAUCAAAAUGUGCAUUCAUGACUAAACAAAGAAGAGGCUGCUCUCUGUUUCUCAGUCAUUCAACAAAGAGGUCGGCUGAUCAAGAGUUGUCUUAUUGCAACCAGCCAAUCUUAUAGAUAUUCUCUUAUCGUUUUAUGCAUAUGUAUGGCACAAAGUUAUUUAGUGAGGUGAAGUCUGAUCCUAAAAAUUGGGGAAGAUAGUUUUUAGAUGAGUUGAUGUCACUAUAUCAUAUAAUUUGAAACCAUAAUUGAAUGUAAUAUUUUAAUCUGUAAUUGUCCCUGUAUGCUCUUUUUGUUUGAUAAUUUGAGAAGUCAGAUUCCUUGGGUGUGCGCAAACGCGCCUCAUAAUCUAAUGUUGAGCAGUAUUCAUGUUAAUCAAUAUAUAGUAGGCUGCUUGGGCUCAUAUGUUCACACUUUUGGCUAGCAGCUACAAGGUUGCUUCUAUCACUUUGUCCGCUGUGGAUAAUAUCACGAGUAAAGCAGCACCAUCAAUGCCCAGUACAAGCCUACAAGGUAAUUUUAUCGUCAAUACAAGUGUCAGAAACCAUAUAAUGCUCACCAAUUUGUGGUUUAUCCUUUUAGACAAACUGACGUUUUGGUUUCUUACCGCAUAAAUGGAGCAGACCAAUGUCCUCUGCAAAUUUUAUUCAUAAUCUGCCUAUUCUAUAUAAUUCUAUAUCCACUGUUCAUUCAUUCUUCUUACUGCACAAUAAUCAUUUUGUACAAAUAAAUAUGUAGUAGCUUUUUGAUGUUCCUGCAAUAUUUGAAUAGAUGAGUGUAAAGGAAUAUGUUUAUUCUUUGCAGCAGGCAGCUAACCACUGUUACAUCUUGAUUAGUAAAAAAAUAUUGCUUUAUUUGCAUUUCGCAUUUUUUGAAACCCUAGGAGCCAUUUAUUAGGUUUUUGGGCAGCACAUGCUUUUCAUGUUAGAUUUCAGAGCAAAAUAGAUGGAAUGCUACAGGUUGGAAAAUAAAUAUCAAUGCCCUCAGCUAAGGCCACCAAUGUUGGCAUCAAUUGAAGCUGCCUAACAAAUAAGAAAAACUUUGUAGUGCAAACCCUAUAUAUAAUAUAAACCUGAAAACUACUGUAGAAUUAAAAAUUGAAUCUUUGGUUCACGUCAUCUUGAGUAAACUUUUGCUCCCAGUUUUAACCAUGAGCAAAGGUUUUAUUAGGAUUAAAAGUUUUACUCAGGAUGAACUGGAUGCAUCUCAGAUGUUCAUUUUUGGAUCCUACAAUAGUUUCCCGCUUUGCACUACAUAUAAGGUUUGUAAUACAUAUUUUUGCAACAAAUAAUGUGUUGUAUUUCACAACAGUUAUGUAUUGGUCUAUUGUGACAUAGUUCUAGCAACUUUAAUGAUUUCUUCUGCUGCGGUGUAACCUGUAAAUAUUUUUCUUCUUCUCAGCCAAAUGUUAUUCCAUUAGAGGAUUUAAUUUGUUUAUUCAAAUAUCUUAAAUACAAUUUUUUUUCAUCAUUACUCUGAUACAAAUGACGAUUAUUGAUGAAGCAAUAGAAAAACAUUAAGUGAUGUUUGUUUAUGCCUAAAGAAAUUGCUCCCACUUGAUUGAGAAUUGAACUACACAACUAAAAGCUGCCCAAGUUUGUGAUAGUUAUAAUAAUAAUUAAAUUAGCAUGGAUGUUGACAUAUAUAAAUUUUUUAUGCAUGCUUACUAAAUAUCGCCGUAGCGUUAGCACGGGCCUGCUACUAGUAGAGGAGGUAAUAACUAUACCGGGUAAUAGCACUGCUACCUGGUAAUAGGCAUAAAAAAUAUUAAACUCUCUCCUCUCUCACUCCCUCUCUUUUUUCUACCCAAUCAUUACUUUACACGUGGGUUAUAUCUUACUAUCCACACAUUAUAGAUGGCCAAAAGGCCCGAGGCCCGAUGGCCCGGCCCACGGCACGACAUUUUGGCCCGGCCGCCGGGCUUUGCCUGGGCCCCUCCACCGGCAUGUUGGGCCGGUCGGCCAGGCCCGACAAAAAAAUAAUAGGGAGCAAAAAUAGACAUAUUAUAUGUCACAGUUCAAAGAAUAGGGACGAAAAAUAGACUUAUAUUAGCUAUAUAUAUGUCAGCCCAAUGAGGAGGGAGGAAAAAUAGACUUAUUUUAGCUAUAUACUAGAAAAUGAGCGUGCCAGUUGGCACGCUAGCUAAGUUAGUUAAUAGCAUGUGUGUAUUUCCCUUCAGAAAUCAUACAUUUGAAAAGGAUUGUUGAAAGUCCAUUCCCUUUUAUUUUUAUGUUUGUGAACAAACUAAGAUAGAAUAGUAAAACCAUCUAGAUUAGUGGUAUUAUCAUGCUGAACAGACUAUAUAACAUCGAGAAAUGACUAAAGAUGAUGUACAUUAAUAAAAUACAUGUUUUACUAAUAUCCAACACAAUUCUCAUAUAGAUGUAAGUCAUUGAGUUCGUAUUAGUAGGAAAUACAUAUCCGAAAUAAAUGUGUCUUCGAUUACUAUUUUUUAUACUAAUUUCAUUUAGAAAUAAAGGACGAUGACAUGGUAAAGACACUUAUUUUGAUUUCAUAUAUCCAGAUAUACUACUAUGUAGAGCUCAGCUGGUCAGGUUCUCUACCUAUACGAGUUAAGUUCUAAACUUAGCAUAGACGCUUGUAUUUACGGCUAUUUGUUUUUUCAAUGGUAGGAAACCCACCAUUCUUCAUCACUCCUAAGAUAUGCCUGAUGGCCCAGUCUUCGAAGGUGCUUGUAGUGAU
rnacentral:lncRNA from 1 species